rnacentral:rRNA from 1 species
CCCUUAGACGUUCUGGGCCGCACGCGCGCUACACUGACGAAGGCAACGAGCUUUCCUUUACCGAAAGGUACGGGUAAUCUUUUGAAACUUCGUCGUGCUGGGGAUAGAUCCUUGCAAUUAUUGAUCUUAAACGAGGAAUUCCUAGUAAGCGCAAGUCAUCAACUUGCGUUGAUUACGUCCCUGCCCUUUGUACACACCGCCCGUCGCUACUACCGAUUGAACGGUUUAGUGAGGGCCUCGGAUUGGUCUCGGCCCGCUCUUUACCGGGCGGCGCCGUUGGUCGAGAAGACGCUCGAACUUGAUCGUUUAGAGGAAGUAAAAGUCGUAACA